UUCAGACUGUGGAUGGUCCAGACGGGAACUCACAGGGAACCAGAAAGCCUCCGCUCUGCACCCCUGAUGAGGCUGUACCCGUAAAGAGAAAGCGGUCCUGGCGAUACAACCGUGUCUGGACAAAGGACCAGAAGUGGACACGAGAGGGACUCGCCACCAGCGUACAACAGAGGGUGCCACCCCCCUCUACAAAGGACCAACCCAAACAGACCGGUGAUGAAUCAGGCAAGGCCUCGCCAGAGACCCCCAGGGGCUCACCAUCCCGGGAAACUGACGAGGU